CAGUCGCCGCGGUAAUACGGAGGAUCCAAGCGUUAUCCGGAAUCAUUGGGUUUAAAGGGUCCGUAGGCGGUCUUGUAAGUCAGUGGUGAAAGCCCAUCGCUCAACGGUGGAACGGCCAUUGAUACUGCAGGACUUGAAUUAUUGGGAAGUAACUAGAAUAUGUAGUGUAGCGGUGAAAUGCUUAGAGAUUACAUGGAAUACCAAUUGCGAAGGCAGGUUACUACCAAUUGAUUGACGCUGAUGGACGAAAGCGUGGGUAGCGAACAGGAUUAGAUACCCCUGUAGUCCAUGUCUCUUAUAC
rnacentral:rRNA from 1 species